AACGUAUUUUCUAACCUCUAAAUUCUCAAAACAAAGUUAACAAACAGUUGCGCGCACAACCAUAGAUUAUACCGUACGUAGUACGCGACGUGAGCAACAAACAUCAUUCGAUACAUCGAAAGACGGAGGUUUGAGAGAAGUAUUAAUUAUUUAGACAAAAGUGUUACGCUACGCUAAAAAUACUGUUUGAUGUGUGCCGGGAUUGUUUAUUGUUAUUGUUGAGUUUAUUUUCAGGUUACGUUAUUUAGACACCGCAUUGUAUUUGUGCUACAAUAUGAAUGAUCCUGGAGAUAAAAAGAAACGAAAGCAAUUCACGCUUAAGGAAAAAGUGGAUAUACUCAGAGAACUAGACACGGGGAAAAAAGCAAGUCGCAGUUGCGAAUACCUACAUAUGGCAUUGCGGCUCUCCUGUAGCUAUUUUUUUUAUAUAUUUUUUUCUCUUUGUAAAGAUAUGUAUGCAUGUUUCAGUGCUAAGUACAAAAACUUGAGGUACCUGUAAGUACUUAGCACUGAGAUUCUACUGUAAUGUCUUUAUAUGAUUUGCUUGUUAUUACUAAUAAUGUAAUAACAUAUGCAAAUCAUAUAAAGACAUUAAUUAGAAAAAAGAUUUCCAUUAAGAUUAAUUUACGUGGUGAUGAAAAAAACUCACGUUAAUGAAAAUACGGUAAAAUCAUAAUUUGAACAAACAUGGCAGAUAAAGUAAACAAAAUUCAACCGUGAUUACAGUAGGUCUAGGUAUCAAAACAAAAUCAUGCAAUAUUUGAAAAAUUACCUGAUUCAUUUGCUUUCAAACAGUAGUGUAGGUACUAUAUUCGUAAAACAUACAUUCCAGAACUGCUAGUACACUAUUUAGUAUUUACCGUAUACACAUAAACAAAGAACGUACCUACUUUUAUUCGCGCACAGCCAAACAAAAACAUUGUCGUCUGCUUUAUUUAAAUUUUACAUACUCUGACUGGCAUAUAAAAUCCUCAUAAUAUACAGCCAAUUAGACAAAAAGGUCAACAAGUCACUGCAUGUAAUGACCACUUGGCAGCAACCAUUUGUUAUGUUUUGUUUUGACCAUGUCCCUUGCCUGGUUUACAGCUUCCUGAGCUAGCCAUGUGUGACAGUGGUGCAAGAUGGCGGCCGUUCCGCAGUAGUCACGUGUUUUUUCAUCAGUACCAUGCACGUGAUAAAUAUAUUAUCAUAGACUGCGACAUUACGACUGUAAAGGAAAUAGUCUGUGCGCUGAAAGAUCUGGAUUGAUUCUUGAAAUUUACGAGUGACAUGGGGCUGUGUUGUGUGGUCUAGGGCGGAUGUUGAAUUUAUUAAAUAGUAAUAUUUAUAUAUACAUCAAAAGGUACCAAAAUGAUUUAUGUAAUAGAAUUUAUUACUGAAGAGCAAAUUUUGGGGCACUUUUUUUCUUUGUUAAUUAAAAAAUUUCGCUUAACUUUCGUUAAGAAUAUAUUUAUCUCUCAGAAAAAUUCAUUUUCGUUUCGCUUUCGCGAAACUUGAUAAAUUUUCUUUCACUUUCAUUUCGUGUGGAUAAAGUCACUUUCGCACAUCCCUAAUUUUUUUCUUUUAACCGCGACGUCGGCCGCGCAUCGCCCUCCAUCUUCCGACCAGGCAACAUGGCUGUGCCUAACAACAACUACUACCCUGUUUUGACAGGGUCCUAGUCCCCCCUCCCCCAAAGAGAAAGAAACCAUCAUGGGGAACUAAGGAAGCCCGGCGACCUCCAAUUUUGAAUUGGUGGUUUCGCCAGUGGAAGCUCUCACCCCCGGCCUUUUCGCCAUCAGCUACGAACCGCCAGAAAAUCUUCAGUUCGUGAGAGCGAGUGCCAGUGAAAGUUUUAUUUUGUAAAUUUCCAAAUGUAAUUUCAGAAAUCAGAUUCGAACCAGUUUAACAGCUUUGGUCUCUUCAGCCAUCUCGAAAUUGUAUAUGUGAAAUUUUUAUAAUUAACCAGUGAUAAGCUAAUAUGGUGAUUACAGAUUAUUGUAAAAUGUUAAAACUUUACGGUUUCUUUAAGAAUGAUGUGUUGGAAAAAUAAUUUUCUAUUCGCGGCCCGGGUCGGCAAAUGAUUAGGUAGACUGAGCUCUCUUUAAUAAUGGUUAAAUGAUAGAAGUGUUUUCUCUUUAUAGCUUGUAACAGAAAAUCUUGAAAACAAACUUUGACCUUAAAUAAAAGGAUGCCUAUAAACGUAACUGUUUAUUUUUAUUACUUAAGGCAAUAACGAUCCACACUAAACUCCCAAGUCUUGAUAGGGAGUUUACAAAUUUUCUUUGGACCCACCCCGUGUCUGCCUCUGAUGUUUAAAUUUUGUUCUUAUUUCUUCUUUUCUGCCCGCCACUUCCAAGGCCUGUUUUGUCGACAUCUUGUCAAUAUUAAUAACAAGGACAGGAGGGGCGUUUCAAUUGGUAGCAGAGCAUGGUUUCGUCUAUAGGCAUACCUGAAUAGGCAUACUUAGAAAAAAAGAAAAAAAGAAAA